CAUAGAACUAUUUUUUGUCGUGGGUCAGGUAGGUUGGGACAGCUAAUCUAAUAUUUAUUUAUGUUGAUCAAAAAUUAACAUAAUUUAUUAUAAAGUCCACGUGCUUUCAUGUCAAUACACAGUUCAUAAGCUGCAAUUUGAAUUAAAUCAUGUAAAAUAUUAUUCGAUUUCAUAGUUUAAUGCAACUAUUUGCGUGCAUUCCACUCCAGGCUACAGAGAAAAUUUUAGGUAAGAGAUGCUGAUUAUAUUUGGUUUGCAUAUAUUAUUUUGUAUAUAUUAUGGCAUUUUAUUAUCAUAAUUUAUCAAGUAAAUGCGCAAAAAUUAUGAAAGUGAAUGAAAAUUGAACGUGGAAAUGACAGUUAUCUCCGUCUUUGUCUGGCAUCAAAUGAAAUUAUUGAUUUUUUUGGAUGCCAUUCUAUUCUGAUUCAGAUGCUGAGAGGAUGUGAAAACUAGUAAGAAUGGAUGCUGACAAUUGUGUGUCUGUUGUCAUGGAUAUAUUAAAAGUAAACAAAAUAAUAAGAGCUAAUUCUUAGCAGAGAACAUUAAGAUUUAUUUAAAAAAUAUAUUUUAAUAAUUUUAUGUUCAUGAUGUUUAAUAUUUUGAAUCUAUGUUUAUAUAAAUGAUGCAGCUUUUUUGUAGGUUGUUCCAUAUUGUCAUUUUAGUAACUUUAUAAAAACUACUAUUAACUCUAAAGAAAAAAUAUCAUAUGACUAAAAUAAAAUGAAAUCCUGAAGUAAAGAUAUAGUUUUAAUUAUUUUAUAUUUUUGGGGUGGAAAAGGGGGGGUCAUUAGUUUUUAUUGUAAUAGAAUUGUCUGUUAUAUUGUGUUUAUACUGAGUAUUGCCUUGAACAAUUUGAAGGGGAAAAAAUAUAUGUAUAUUUAACUAAAAACUAAAUAGCCUAGAGGACUCUGAGAGUUGCUAUAUAUGUAGCUAAAAAUAAACUGCAUAUUAGUCCAACCACACUCUGGGAACUGUGAGUGUUGUAUUUAGUUUAGUUUUAUCUUUAGAUAUGUAGCUAACAAUUUGUUGGUACAUAUGUAGCUAAAAACUCAUAUCAAAGGGGAGAGUUUGUAUAUAUGUAGCUAUAAACUAAGGAGGAGAGUAGUACAUGUGUCACUAUAAACUAAAGGGGUUGGUAAGUACAACCACACUCAGGUAUCUUGUGAGUGUUGUGGGUAUUUUUGUUGUAAAUCUUUUUUAUUCAUAAUUAGAGAAUUUUCAUAUAAGGCAGAUAUUUGCCAGUCUUUUUCAUAAACUUGGAGCAAUUAACAGUUCAGUCUGUGCUACAAUCUACUAGUUAGAAAACUAAAUAUCAUAACUUGUCAUUAUAUGACUAUAUAUAAUUUUGAAAAUUUUCACUAGUCUGAAGCAAUAUUUACUACAUGUAGUCUGGGGCAUCAAUAUCUAACUAGUGACUAACUGUAGAGACUGCAGAUUAUCCUACAGUGAUUAUAAUUGUUUCCCCUUGUUAACUCAAUGGCUUUAUUUUAAUUCUUCCAUCAAGUGCUAAAUUGUUUAGAAAUUAAACUUAAGAUAUAAUUUUGGUGUUCAUUUAUUGUUAUACAUGCAUAGGUAUAGAGUAAAAUCACAAAAAUACUGAACUCCAAAGAAAAUUCAAAAAGGAAAGUCCCCAAUCAAAUAGCAAAAUCAAAAGUUCAAACACAUCAAACGAAUGGAUUACAAUUGUCAUAUAUUCCUGACUUGGUCAUGUUGGUACAGUCAUUUCAUUACAAUGAAACUGACAAUUCCUGGAAUAAGGGAUUGGGGGAGGUGAAAAAAAAUGGGGGGGGGGGGUAAAAUUUUUCUCAUUUCAGAUUUCAGAAAUUAAAAAGAAUUUUUUUCAAAUUUUUUUUUGGAGGGGAUUUAUAUUCAACAGCAUAGAGUAUUGUAUUUAUUACAUUCUGGUAUUGUAAUUAUUACUUUUUAUAUGACCCCACAAAAAUAUUGCAGUCGUAUAUUGGUAUCAUGUUGUUGGCAUCGUCGGCAUCGUCAUCUAAAGACGAACGGUUUCCUGAUAAUAACUUAAGUAUAAGUAAAUAUAUAUCAAUAAAAUUUUAACACAAUGUCUUUAACCACAAUAAAAAAAAAUUGGGAUUGAUUUUAGGGGUUAUGGUCCCUUGGUUUAGGAAUAAGGGGACCAAAGGGGCCCAAAACAUACAUUUAUCUAGUUUCAGGACAGUAAGUAGUGUAUAAGUAUUUCAAUUACUCUGAAUUGUAUAACAAUGUUUAUACAUGUGUACCAUUAAGUAGAAGGUUGGGAUAUAUUUUAAGGGUUAUGAGGCCAAAAACAAGCAUCAUUGAAGUUUCGGGACAAUAACUUAUGUUUAACUGUAUGGAUCUCUCUGACAUUGUACCACAAGGUUCCAUAUAAUGAAGGGAAGGUUUGGUGUCAGUUUGGGGUUAAUAUCCCUGAACAUUUAGGAAUAAGAGGGCCAAAAAAGGGCCAAAAAGAAGCAUUUUUCUAGUUUACAGACAAUAACUUGUGUUUAAGUGUAUGGAUCUCUCUGAAAUUAUACUACAAGGUUUCAUACUACAAAGGAAAGGCUGGAAUUGAGUUUUUGGGUUCUUGCUCGAAGGGUUUUAAUAAGUUAGGGGCCAAAAAGGGGCCCAAAUAAGCAUUUUUGUAGUAAAGGAAGUGAUAAUUGUCUUGAGAUGUGUAGCUGUAAAUUAAUUUUUAGAAGUUACUGUUAAUUAAUAUUAAUUUUAACCAUGACUGCAAGUUAUUUUAUAUUUUAAUACUUUAUGAUGUAAAUGAGUAGUUAUUGUUGCCAACUUAAUUAGAAAUUUGAAUUGAGAUUAUUUUGGAAUAAGGGAUUGGGGGAGGUGAACAAAAAAUGGGGAGGGGUGAGGGGUAAAUUUUUUCUCAUUUUAGAAUUCAGAAAUUAAAAAGAAUUUUUCUUUAAAUAUUUUUUUUUUGAGGGGAUUUAUAUUCAACAGCAUAGUGUAUUGCUCAAAAAGAAAAAAAAAAAUUAAGUUCACAGUGGCGGAUCCAGAAAUUUUCAUAAGUGGGGACCCACUGACUGACCUAAGAGGGGGCCAGGUCCAGUCACGCUUCAGUGAUUCCCUAUAUAAGCAACCAAAUUUUUUCCCAAAAAGGGGGGGCCUGGGCCCCCCCCUAAAUGCGCCUCUGGUUCAUUAGACCACAUUCAUUCUUGUGUCAGAAACUUUUGCUGUGUCAACUAUUUAAUCAUAAUCCAAAUUCAGAGCUGUAUCAAGCUUGAAUGUUGUGUCCAUACUUGCCCCAACUGUUCAGGGUUCGACCUCUGCGGUCUUAUAAAUCUGCACCCUGCAGAGCAUCUGGUUAAACUUAAAUUAACUUCGUAUGACAUUGUGAGUGUUGUUGCUCGACAAUUUUCGCUGAGCAUGGUAAAAAAUUUUAUUUGAUGCCCUGUUCCCUUUUUUCCUGUGAUCUUUUUAGGUUUUUUUGGUAAAAAGCUAAAUUAAACUACUUAAGCCAAAUUGAGCUAUAAAUAUCUCUUUAUGUUACUUUUCAAGAGAAAUCCAAUUUUCAGCAUUAAUAUUUUGAAGUAGAGCCUAAAAUGUUAUGCAGGGGUGAUAAAUGAAUGUUUUGAUUUUAUCUGAAAAAAAUAACUUUAUAUCAAUCUUGAAUUAUUUUUCCACAGUAAGAGGACAAGAAUUAUUGCAUAAUUAUAAAAUUCAACCAUUCUUUUUCUUAAUAGAUAGACUAGGAAGAUGUGGUAUGAGUGUCAAUGAGACAACUCUCCAUCCAAAUAACAAUUUAUAAAAGUAAACCAUUAUAGGUCAGUGUACGGCCUUCAACACAGAGCCUUGGCUCACACCGAACAACAAGCUAUAAAGAGCCCCAAAAUAACUAGUGUAUAACCAUUCAAAUGGGAAAACCAACAGUCUAAUGUCUUUAAAGUUUCAAAAUGAAAUUCCAGAUAGCCAAUGAGAAACAGGGAUUUCAUUGAAAAAUCACUGUAAGGAUGACUUUAUAUAGCCCAUUUAUGGAGCUUUAAAUUACAAAAUAGAAAAUGGAAGAAGAAUUACUUCCCCAUGUGAAAAUAAGGAAAAGCAUAUAAUUGCCAAAGAGACAACUAACCACCUAGUAUCUAAUAACAUCAAGAAUUCUCAUUGAUAAGGAUUUUUUAAGGUGAGUCCAGGGAUCUGUCAGUUUUGGCAAUGGCAAGUCCAUACAAUGUGAAAAUGAAAUUUUAUAGUUAUCUAUAAUACUAAAAUUACGAGGUCCAAUUUGUCAGCCGUCAUCACGUAAAAACGACGAAUCAAAGAAUUCAACUUUAUAUACAGCUAAUAUAGUACAAAGGUGUAGAUUAAAAAUUACACCACUCCAGGCCCUUUUGUUUUCCACGUAAUUAAUAUUGCCAAUAAUUAGGAAGUUCCGGGUCGAGUCCGAUACCGAUACCAAUAGUAUAAUCACCUGUUACCUAUUACCUUAUCUGUACGUUCCGCAUCUGACAGGCGCACCACCAAACGGUGUAUUCAGGAUUAAUAUGCUAUAUACACGGGUCAUAAUCACAGGGUUGACACUACUUAAUUGUCAAAUUGUUACCUAUUGUAGUAUUUUAAUCCGUAAGACUUUCUAAGAUAACAAUACGAAUACUAAAAAUCUGGAAAGUUUCAAUUUGUUAGCGGGCAUGACGUAAAACAGUGAAUCAAAGAAUUCAACUUUAUUUAUAACUAAUAUAGGACAAUGCUGUUGAUUAAAAAAUACUCCAUUCCAGGACCUUUUGUUUUCCAAAUAAUUAAUAUUACCAACUGACCAAUAAUUGAUAAGUUCCAGUGCAACGGGUUCAAACAGAAAGAUUUGAAAGCAGAGAAAAUUGUGUAUCUUAUAAUCGGCAUGACUUUAUCAGAUGACAGUACUAAUACUAAAAUAAGGCUUGCGCAUAGUUAUAUACUUUAAUUCAGUCACGGACCCGUGAUAUCACGGGUGUGUUCUAGUAUAACUUAUUAUUCAGUAAACAUGACAAAAUAGCACAAGGAAACAACAUUAUUAUUUAGAUUAAGAAAAAUUACCAAAAUAAUGAUAUACGUGCUCAGAUGAAUAAAAAUAGUUUACUACACUCUUGAUGACAGUGAUAUUGUUUGCCUUAAAUUAAUGGAGAAUAAAGACUUUUUCCCCUGUAGGGAAUCCCAAUUUGAAAAAAAAAUGGGUUAAAAUUAUUCCCAAAAAGACAACUUUUUUCCCAAACAGUGCAGUUUCAGUAGUAAUUGUGCAUGAAUUCAAACUGAAAAACACUCAUUUAUACUUUUUUCAUGCCUAAAAUUACUACCAGUAUAUGUGCAGAUUUGAGGGUGUAUUUAUGUAUCAUCACUGACAAAAAGGGGUCUUAUUUCAAAGCAGGGUUUGACUCUUGAAAUGGGGUCUGUAAAUUGAAGUUUCAUUCAAAUUCAUGGUUUAUUGUAAAAUUCCCAAUUUGAUGAAAAUUAUGCAUAUUUUCCCAAUAAAAAAGGGUAGAGGUAGUUUUGAAAAAAGCCAACAAUAUCACUGUGAUGCAUCUUUGAACUCAUCAGUUUUGAAAAAGAUGAGUCGUGACUCUCACAGGUUUUCAUGAGUCCAGGCCUUGAAGGCAUAAAACUUUGCUCAGUGCUCGGGGCACAAAAAUCAGGCUCGAAACAUGAAAUCCAGCAAUUUGAUUGGUUGAUUUUUCGAGUCUGAGUACAUAAAUCAGGCUCGAAAGUUUUAUGACCUUGAGGCCUGGACUCAUCUAAGUGAGAACACUGAAAUCAAAGGCCCUGCAGGGAUUUCAAAUGGACCCCUAGAAAUUGAUUUUUUUAACAAGAAUUUAAAUGUCUUGUAAUUUUAUAGAUUUGUUGUAUCUUGGACAUGGGUAUGAAGUAAUUUGUUUGAAAUUCUUCAAAAUAUUGGUUUUAAGAUGAAAUUAUUUAUAGCUAUCUUAAUUAUGAUGGAAAACUCCAUUGUACAUUACAGACCUACUGUAACAAUGGUUAAUUUCUACAGUUCAAGUGUUAAUUUAGAAUAUUUGCAAAAAAUAAUAUAUAUCCCUGUACUGUAGUAAAAGUUUUUCAUUUCUUAGCUCUUUUGUCAUCUUUAGUUUGAAACUUGUAUUCAAGUAAAUUUACAAACUUGGGGAUUGAGCUUCAAAAUUUAAUGAUUUUUUUUCCUUCUUCAAACUUAGCAGUUUAACUAAUGGCAAAUACAUGUACAUGUCUCUGUGAAAUCAGAUUUGAAAGUUUUGCUUUAAAGUUGCAAAGUUAUGUAUAUAUAUGUUUGUUAUUUGGCAAUGUUUAGUUGCUUAAUACAAUGAACAUCAAUCUAAGCAGGAUAGGCAGAUUUUUAAGUUUCCUUGUGAUUCAAUCAUUCUUUGAGUUCAAAUUAUAAUGUCUCAUCCAUGGAAUCUUGACUCAAGAAUUUUGCAUAUAAAAAAGUGUGCAUAAGGAAAGCUAAAUAAGUAGAGAAAUACAUUUUUGAUGACACAGUUUUUUUUUUUUGUUUCAGUUUUGAAUAAAUUUGGUUUGAUAACUUUAAAAACAAAAAAAAUGUAUGGAAGACCAGAUAAUAAUCUCAAUUUUUUUUCUGACACUUAAUAAAUUGUUAGUUUUAAUAUAAAUCAAUGAUAGAUUAUUAUUAUUCCUACUGAAUUCACAUUUCUUUGUCUAUAUGCAAUGUAUACAUUAUGUAUAGUAAAAGGGUGUAGUAAACUUGUAGUGUCUGAUGUAUAACAAUGAAUUAAUAUAAGCAUAUAAAAAUUAAUAAUGAAUUCAAUUGCUCUAUAAUGUUAUAGUCUCAUAGAAUAUGUUAAUACAUUAAUGAAAAAAUCUAUUUGGCACUGAAUCAACAUAAAUUAGAUGUAAUGAGAUAUUUUGAUUAAACAUUGGUGGGCACAGUGUUAUAUUGGGAGAAAAUCAAUUUUGUCAAUCUCUACAUUAGAAUUCUUGAUACAACUCAUUGCUUCUAAGAGUAUAAAAAUUCUGCAUAAUGGGGAAAUUGGAUUGUUAUAAUCAAUAAUGGAGGGUGCCCUGGGGAAUAUUUAGAUAGUAAACAAAUUAAACAGGAAUCAAUAUGAUGUUCUGGAAAGAAAGGUUUUAUUUGUCUGAUAAACAUCGGUUGGAUAUUUAGUGGUGUAUAAUGGCAAAUUGAGUUUUUAGCAAAACAAUUUUUUUCUCAGUUUAACUUUUGUGUAUCUUUAAAAAAAAUUGGAUAAAAUAGAAUAAGAUGAAUCAAUAUCAGGAAUAAUACUUUUGCAUUUGUAUGAUAAGAUAUUGGGAUAUGUUAAUUAUCUCAAGCUAUUUUAUCCUGUCUCUGUUAUUGCAGAAGGCUACUAUUAGAAAUUGUCUGUUUCUCCUGACCACAGUCCUGAUCAUUGAAUGUAUCAAGAGUAGAUAGACCAGAAGGCAGACAUGUUUUAGUUUUCUUGUUAAAGAUUAUAAAAAAAAACUUUACUUGAGAUUCUGAAAUAAGUUUAUUGUUAUUGUGCGUGUUAGGGGAUGGGGUGCUUUGUGAACCAGUGGUUUAAGAAGUUUAUUUGCUGUGAUCGCUAGCCUAUCGACAUUGAGGUAUAUUAUGAAUGCUGCUUGUGGCAAGGUGCACUUGACAUCAAUCUUGAUUUACUAGGGUUUCCCUGGGGAAGGUUUUGGUUCUCUUGUGGGUACUCAGCCUUCCUCCAGUUUCUGUUCUUUGGUAAGGCUGUUGUCUCUUUGAAACAUUCCCUGUUUCCAUUUCUAUUUUAUCUAUAAGUUUAUUAUUGAGGGAUAACCUUUGCAAUAAUGUGGGUUUUUUCUUCACUAGUGAAAAUUUUAUGUUAAAAAUUCAGAAAUUGUUAUUGUUUAGAUUGAAAAGCUCUGUAAAUUUUUUGUAAUAAUCUGUAGACAUAUUCUAAUAACUUGUUAAAAUCUUUGAAAGAUUGGUCAACUUCCAAAGAAGAUGUGUCAGUUUGCAUUUGUCUUUACUGAAAAUACAUGUAGGGAUUGCAUUUCUAUUGGCACUCAAUAUAUUUAUUUAAUCUGAAAAUGGCAGUUUUCAACUUAUCCUUUAAUAUGAUUGUAUCAUGUUUCCAAAUCUUUUUCUUAACCACCAGGAUAGAUGGGAACCAAACAUGUAUUUUUUUGGCCUAAGAUAUAUUGUAUACUACUUCAUUUGGUGUGAAUUAUAAAAAUGAAAACAAAAUCUUUUUGGAGGUUGAAAAUUUAAAUUAGAUAACCAGAUGUAUUUAUAGAAAUGGUUUUAUGCAGUUCGUAUAUGUGUACAUGUAUAUACACAAUUUUUGAAACACAUUUAUGCAAUUCACAUAAAUUAUUUAUCAAAUAUUGUAUAUUUAAGUUAAGUCCCACUUCAACAUUUAAAAAAUUAUUAAAAGAAAGUUUUAAGUUUUUGUUUCUCGAGACUCGUCAUUCUUUUAUUUGCAGCCUUUAUUAUGUUCAUGACUAACACAUAACUUGAACAAAUCUAGAAUUGAAAAAAUUAAUGCAUCUAAACUUGGAAUAAAAUAAUGAUAUUGAUCAUGAAAUUGAUUUUCCUGAAAUCUUCAUUGUAAAUCAGUCAUGCUUUUGAAGUUCUGAAUCUAAUUAGUGACAGAGUUCGUAUUGAUUAUUCUGUGAAAUAAAAAAAACAUCAGCAUUAGCAAUACAUUUUAUGUCAAUAAUUAGAAACGAAGUAUAGCCUCGCUUGAUUCUGAUUGGUCGAUAUCCUAGUAAUAUUUGAUUGCAAUGUCUUGAGGAUUGGUUCGGGAUUCUUAUUCCGAGCUUAUUUGGAUAUGAUGAUUAUAUCCAGGUAUUAUAAUGAGGAGUCUUACUACAAUCAAAUAUUCACAUUGUCAAUGUAUAGAAUUAAUAAUUAGUCUUCUCGGCAGGUGCUUAACAUGAUUUAUUAAUAAUUAAAGAAUUUACUUAAAUCUCUUAUCAAUGCUCAAAUACAAACUUUUAUUGUGAAAAAACUUGACUUUUUCCCCCUUUUGGGUCCUGUGUCAAUCAUUUCUGCAUCCAUGUCUCUCAUUUUCUACGAAGUUCAGGAAUUUUGUUGUUUUUUCAGAGGACGGAUUGCGACAGGUUUGGAUUACCAAUUAUAAACCAUCAAAGUGGCGCCCGUCGGAAUAGACCCCAUGGACAUGGAUGGGGACUCCAGUGAUGAGGUGACAUCUGAAGCCCUCAAUGGAGAAACCAAGCCUGAUGUCGCCAAACUUGCACAGUCCGCCAUUAUUAAGCAAGUAAGUGAUACAUUCCUGUGUAGGCAGGCUUCCAUAUUGAAGUCAACAGGUGGAAGUCUUGCAUAUGUUUAAACAGGUGGUAGAAAUGAUAAUAAUAAAUGAGCAC
rnacentral:lncRNA from 1 species